UACAAGGAUUCCCUCAGUAACGGCGAGUGAAGCGGGAAGAGCUCAAAUUUAAAAUCUGGUUUGCUUGCAAGCCCGAGUUGUAGUCUGAAGAAACGUUUUCCAUAAGCACUGAGACAAAAGUCCCUUGGAACAGGGCAUCAUAGAGGGUGAGAAUCCCGUCCAUGGUCUCAAGUUGUUUAUUUUGUGAUACGUUUUCAAAGAGUCAGGUUGUUUGGGAAUGCAGCCUAAAAUGGGUGGUAAAUUUCAUCUAAAGCUAAAUAUUGGCGAGAGACCGAUAGCGAACAAGUACCGUGAGGGAAAGAUGAAAAGAACUUUGAAAAGAGAGUUAAACAGUACGUGAAAUUGUUGAAAGGGAACCGUUUGAAGCCAGUCUUACUUGCCUGUGAUCAAUUUUUGCUUCGGCAUGAAUGCACUCUCGGGUAUGGUAGGCCAACGACAGUUUGGAAUGCGAGAAAAAAAUAGAGGAAAUGUGGCCUUCGGGUGUUAUAGUCCUUUAUAAAAUAUCGUGUUCUGGACUGAGGAUCGCAGCAAAAACGUGGGCAGGUGGAUUUCUGUGGUAACUGUCGGUUAGGACAACUUGUUGACCUAGUCUUCCUUAGCCUCACUAUUUACCUUGCUUCUAAUUUGCUUAGGCGGUGGCAUAAUGGCUUUAAAUGACCCGCUUG
rnacentral:rRNA from 1 species